rnacentral:rRNA from 1 species
GACAGAGGGGGCAAGCGUUGCUCGGAAUUACUGGGCGUAAAGCGCGUGUAGGCGGCUAUGUAAGUCGGGCGUGAAAUCCCACGGCUCAACCGUGGAAGUGCACCCGAAACUGCGUAGCUAGAGUCCUGGAGAGGAAGGUGGAAUGCUUGGUGUAGAGGUGAAAUUCGUAGAUAUCAAGCGGAACACCGGUGGCGAAGGCGGCCUUCUGGACAGUGACUGACGCUGAGACGCGAAAGCGUGGGGAGCAAACAGG